rnacentral:rRNA from 1 species
AGAACGAACGCUGGCGGCAUGCCUAACACAUGCAAGUCGAACGAGACCUUCGGGUCUAGUGGCGCACGGGUGCGUAACGCGUGGGAAUCUGCCCUUGGGUUCGGGAUAACAGUUGGAAACGACUGCUAAUACCGGAUGAUGUCUUCGGACCAAAGAUUUAUCGCCCAGGGAUGAGCCCGCGUAGGAUUAGCUUGUUGGUGAGGUAAGAGCUCACCAAGGCGACGAUCCUUAGCUGGUCUGAGAGGAUGAUCAGCCACACUGGGACUGAGACACGGCCCAGACUCCUACGGGAGGCAGCAGUAGGGAAUAUUGGACAAUGGGCGAAAGCCUGAUCCAGCAAUGCCGCGUGAGUGAUGAAGGCCUUAGGGUGUAAAGCUCUUUUACCCGAGAUGAUAAUGACAGUAGUCGGAGAAUAAGCCCGGCUAACUCCGUGCCAGCAGCGC